CUCCUCCUCUCAGUACAUCAGCACCAAUGUGUGUUUAGCAACAUCAUCCUACGGACCCGCACCGCUUACUUUCAAUCGAGGCUGACUUUUCUCCCACAAAAGCCCCAUAGAAUUAAACAAAACGCUCGACAACAUUAUAAAGCUGCUAGUGGCUCGACAGAAGGGCAGUUUCAGAUCUUUUGAAUCGCUUCUUUUUUCCCGUCCUUGCAGGUUUCUUGGACCACUCCAGACAUCAGACCAGACUUCUCCCGUUGACUCGGCACUCUCUCAAGGCAAAAUGGGGAAACAGAACAGCAAGCUGACCCCUGAAGUGAUGGAGGACCUGGUGAAGAACACAGAGUUUAAU